rfam:Ruegeria meonggei strain CECT 8411 genome assembly, contig: 0001
UGCGUCUGAUUCGAAACUGCCGGAUAUGCAGGCCGGUUGGGAACAGAUGUGUUCGAACGUCAUGGCCGGGCUGUCUGGCCUGAACAUGGUGUAUGAAGCAG